rnacentral:rRNA from 1 species
AUUGAACGCUGGCGGCAUGCCUUACACAUGCAAGCCGAACGGUAACAGGUCUUCGGACGCUGACGAGUGGCGAACGGGUGAGUAAUACAUCGGAACGUGCCCAGUCGUGGGGGAUAACUACUCGAAAGGGUAGCUAAUACCGCAUACGAUCUGAGGAUGAAAGCGGGGGACCUUCGGGCCUCGCGCGAUUGGAGCGGCCGAUGGCAGAUUAGGUAGUUGGUGGAUAAAAGACUUACCAAGCCGACGAUCUGUAGCUGGUCUGAGAGGACGACCAGCCACACUGGGACUGAGACACGGCCCAG